AACGAGGGUACCCAACAUGAACUCGCGCCAGAGUCUAAUCGGCCAUCACCGUUCCAUGGCUCUUGUUCGGUCAGAUCUCACAGUAAAAGACUCAAAACACUUUGUAAAGGCUGGUGACAUCUAGUGGAAGCAAUAGGAAGUGCCAAAACAUUAAUCAACCCCUGUGUGUUUCAAUGGCAUAGGCUUAAAGGUAAUUCAACACAUCAGGUAUCCACUUCCUGUCAGAAAAUGUCUCAGGGUUUUGCCUGCCAAAUGAGUUCUGUUAUACUCACAGACACCAUUCAAACAGUUUUAGAAACUUUAGGGUGUUUUCUAUCCAUAUAUAAUAAGUAUAUGCAUAUUCUAGUUACUGGGUAGGAUUAGUAACCAGAUUAAAUCGGGUACGUUUUUUUAUCCAGCCGUGAAAAUACUGCCCCCUAGCCCCAACAGGAUAAGAGCUUCUGCUAAAUGACUAAUCUAAAUGUGGAGACUACCAUGGGGCUAUGGGUUAGUAUAUUAAAUAUUUAGUUUGUUACCCUAUUUCUCUCUCAUAAUACCUGUAACAGCAAUUGCCAUGUUCAUUGCCUUUGCAUUCUCUUACUCACCUCUUGCCUAAACAUCAGACUGUGACCGUGUUUACCCCAUGGUUAUUCAGUGUGAAAGAAGUCGCCCUAAAAAAGACGCAAGAGUCUCUACAAGCCAGAAUGUUGAAUACAAUUAUAUUUACACUUACCGGUUGUCCAUGCUGUUGGUCCUUUUGACAGUAGGAAGUGGAGAUACAAUAUCCACAGGAAAGUAUUGUUUACCCGACUUUUUGCGGCGACAGAAUUCGCUUGUAUUUUCAAUCUCCCGAGGCAUUGUUGCACAUUAUGUAAACAGUAGCCGAACGUUGUCGACCGAAACACGUUCCCUCGCAGUCAGCUGGGUAUAAUUUGUGGAACGUUCCAACAGGAAUCUGUUCCAAAAAGUUCGUAAAUAACAAGGUUGCCAGCAAACAACGGAUACAAAAUUGUAUAGCGUCAGAAUAAGAUACCGGGUAGAGAGUGGGCUACUUCAUUAAGUUUUUCACUCACCACGUUUAUUCCGAAAAAUGUCUGUCCUCACUGGACAACCGAGGUAAAGACAGUUCAAGUUGGAUAUUCGCGCUUUCAAACCACUUGAGCCACAGACUCCAAAUAAGUGUCAUGAUGUUGGAAAAAUUGCGCACAACAUUGCACAGGUCUUAUUUUCACGAUUUGGACAUUACUUCGCUUUCCAAAGCUAAUAAACAUGUGCAAAUGUGAGCAGCAUUUUGUAUUCCAAGUUGAAUUAGUUAGGGAGCGUAAACAAAGUACAAACUUUUUUUACAUUCAAAUUUCAAUAGCUCCUUGGUCAUGUGGCCUACUGACUUCAAACAAGGUGCAGAAUAUCCACUCAGUGGCCAUACACAUUGCACACCCUUUAGUUUGUCCAUUUUCAUCUCAUAUGGUUUUACAUAAAUUUUUCCAAAUGUAGAAUUUCAAUAGCUCCUUGGUCAUGUGACCUAAUGACUUUAAACAAGGUGCAGUAUGUCCACUGACUACCCUUCUAUAUUGCACACCCUUUAGUUUGUCUAUUUUCAUCUCACAUGGUUUUACAUUAAUUUUUAAAAAUGGUUGAAUUUCAAUAGCUCCUUGGUCAUCUGACCUGGUGACUUCAAACAAGGUUCAAAAUGUCCACUCAGUGGGUCUACACAUUGCACACCCUUAAGUUUGUCCAUUUUCAUCUCACAUGGUUUUACAUGAAUUUUUCAAAAUGUAAAAUUUCAAUAGCUCCUUGGUCAUGUGACCUAAUGUCCGCUGACUACCCUUCUAUAUUGCACACUCAUGUUUGUGUACUGUAAAAUCAUGCGGUGUAACAUACAUUUUUUAUAGUUUCACAUUUGCAAUAGCUCCUUGGUCAUGUCAACUACACACCUAAGAAGCAUGCAGUGGAUAUACACCCAUAUUGCAUAACCUCUAGUCAUGUAUCUUCUAUAUUGUUGUACAUUAAUAUUAGUUUGACAGUUAGGGGGUUCAGUCCAGUGUUGUGUUUACCCUUUUCUUUAUAUUUAUCUAUAAUAAUUGGUAGUUCUAAGUACUUAUUUUCCCUGUUUUUUAUUUUUCCACAGUAUUUAACAGUGGUACACAAUAGAGAGACAGAUAAUAUCUCCUUUCGUCAUUAAUAUCAACCAUAAAGGAAAAGGGCAAAGUAUGAGAGUCAUGUUAUUAAUUGUUCAAAGCAGGGAUGGAGAGUGAGCUAGUGAGGUAGGCUGCAGUGGGUUUGCUGGUCAAUGCAUAUACUGAACAUGUAACCACAGUAAUGGUGGCCAGUAAAUCAAUGAAUAAAAAUGUAAUAUUGGCAAAUUAAACAGAAAUUGUAGACCUUUAAUCUUUUCCAACAUGUCAGACACUUAAUUCAAGUCUGAAACAUUUCACAGUGUUAACUUUCUCCCUGGUUGAUGUACAUUUCAGAGCCUCUUCAGUGUGGAUUUGUAUUUAUUUAACUAGGCAAGUCAGUUAAGAACAAAUUCUUAUUUUCAAUGAGGGCCUAGGAACAGUGGGUUAACUGCUUUGUUCAGGGGCAGAACGACAGAUUUGUACGUUGUCAGCUCGGGGAUUCGAACUCGCUCUAACCACUAGGCUACACUGGGGUAUAGCAUACAUUUUCAACAACAAAGACUGCACUUCCAGUUUGUGUUCUUUACUCUGUUGAACUCUUUUGUCUUCAUUCCUAGGCACAGCACAUGGAACCACCGUCGGCAUGCAAAACAUUCAAUCUAAAACAAAACAAAGCGUAACACGUUAUAAAUAAUAUCAAAUAUCAAUGCAGUAUGACAAAUGAUGAAUUAGCUAUCCAUUGUGUUAUAUCAUAAAUUGUCUUACAUGCCGUCACUGUUGUCAAAAGAUUAUGAACAUGUUAAAUAAAGUUACUAACCCAGUCAGUCUUUGGGCCACAUCCAGGUUCUUUAUCAGUGGCACACGUGAAGCAGUUGUUGGCUUUGUUGAACUCUGAAAUCAUAGGCAUGAACUGAACAUAUGGCUGUCCCACACAACUACAUAAAAAUAAAGAAUUUACAUUUACUUUGAAUUAAAUGUCAUUACAUACCAGACAUUUUUAGUAUAUCCUCAGCCAUUUCUUUUUGCAGUUGCUCCAUGUGUUUUUGAAGGUUCCAUAUGCAUUUGGGAGGGGAUGUUGGAAGUUCUGUGCAACUUCCUUGGCCAACUACACCAAAAAAUAAAAUAGAGUUCUUGACCUAAUUGUCACAUAACAGCUAACCAUUCAUUAUUGAAAAUAUAACUAUCAAACCUGC
rnacentral:lncRNA from 1 species